CUAGGGGGAACAGCCCCAAAGAGGAGCCUGUUAAGCUCCAAGAUGAAUUUUGAUUCAAAAAGCAGACCUGGAACUAGCCAGUCCCAUUUCAUGCUGCAGCCAGGAAGGUGACUGAGAGCUAACUACUGUUAACCUUUUUGUUAACAGAGGAAGAAAUAGUACUGGAUGGAAACAGCAUCAUUGCUGUAGGAUUUGAUUUCCUAAAAGCAAAGCUGAAGAACUAGAUAUAGAGGAGGACCCAAAUGUUCCUGGAAGUGGUAGCCAACGCUGCUUUAAACUGCUGCAAGAAGAACUCUACUGGGAGGGAGAGAAGAAUCAUACUGGUGAAAUGUCAGAAAUAUAUCUUCUUCAUUAGCUCAGAGGUGUGUAUAUUACGUGGAUUUUAUUUAAAAAGAUUAAGGAAAAAAAUCUAGCUUAUCUAUGUGAAGAUACAAAUCCAAAACACCAUUUUUCUGGACAACCUACUCCGGUAUUUAAUUUUUCUCACAAUGAAGAAUUGUUUUGUCUUAUAUCCAGACAGAAUUUCCCCUGAAGCAACUCAUGCCUGGAGCAUCUUGUCCUGUUACCAUGCAGCCUUGGAAAGAGAGUACCUCUAUCUUCUCCGUAACUACCUUUUAGAUACUGUUAGACUGUGCUUACAUCCCAAGCCUUCUCUUCUCUAGGCUGCACAAACCCAGUUCCUUCAACCUUUAUUUGUAUGUCAAGUUCUUCGACCCUUUAAUCAUCUUGAUGGCCCUCUGCUUAACUCUCUUCAAUCUUUCCAUGUCUCUGUUGAACUGGGGAGGACCAACCCGGGACACAGUAUUUCACGUGUGGUCUUACAAGUGCUGACCAGAGUGGGACAAUCACACCCCUCGCCCUGCUGGCUAUCCUCUUGCUGAUGCAGCCCAGGACCUGGCUUGCCCUCACUGCUGCCAGAGCACACUGCUGGCUCGCGUUCAGCCAGCUGCCCACCCCGACCUCCAGCUCCUCCU